AUGUGUGUUCACUUCAUCAGCUUUUAACCACCAAGCAACAUGAAUUUAUCACUUUGUCAUGGCCAUUUGUAUUAUUAAACCACUGCCCCAUGAUCAAAGUUUCAUUAAACUCGGUCGUUUCGUGGUCCUUGUUGCCUGGCUUUUAUUCAAAGCAAGCAUGUGGCAAACAUUUCCUGCUCGGCUUCAUUAUAUAUAUGUUGUGUUCCUUCAAGCAUCUAGGAGCAAGUUUGCAGCAACACACUCUGAUAAUUAUUGUUUCAAGGAGUGUAAAGCUUCGUCUCUGUCAUUUUCAUGAAUGUCUACUUCUUCUAGCUUCUUCUUUUAGACGGGGAACAAUAAUCAAGUGUUCAUCUCAAUUAUUCUUUCCAUCAGUCUUUUCGAGUUUUUGACAGAGGCAUUGUAUAUGUACAUGCUGCAGGUGCAAGUGAAGGCAGGGAGUUUGACAGCAAGUGCAGGCAGGAACUUUGAUAGCAGAAAGCCAUUUCCUUGCUGGGAUUUAGUGGAGGAAGUUGUUGGAAGCACUCCAAGAGAACAUCAAGGCUGAGCUUUUCUCUCCAGACACCGAUUAUGAUACUUUGUGGUUUGUCUUGCUUGGUCAAUUCUUUGUGUGGCUUGUUUGCAGGUGGUGCAAGGCCAUUUGUUGUGUUGCGGUGGAAAGGAAGGCAGGAGAUAGAAGGCUUUUGGUGGUGACCGUUGUUGGUUUGCAGAACAGAUGACAUGACAUUCCACCGAUUGGUCAUACACUCGUGGAUACACAUGUAUCAUAUACGAGAUUGCGACCGUUCGGGGAUCUCCAAAGCUCCAGUGACAAGAGAUGCUGCACAGAAAAAACGAAGUAGCAUUGGUAGAUCAGAGAGGCCCCAACCUUUUCGUCGUUGGCUUGUCGGCUCCUCCUUAAAACUGCUGAACACUUCUCUUCUCUGCAGCAGGGCUUCGUCUCUUUCUUGAUGUAUUUCCUGUGUUGUUGCUUCUCUCCAGCCUUUUCUGCUCCUCCCUUCGUUGCCUCUCUGCUGCCCCCCUUCACUUGUUGUAAAGAGCCUUUAUAUAGGCAACGUAGAAGAAUAAAGAUCAUGCGGGUUAACCAUAACUCUUUUUUUUGAAUUUGAAAUGAUCUUCAGAUGACGAUAACCAUUCCCAUAUUCAAACUUGUAACUGUGGGAACUAUCCACAACUUCCAGUAUGGAAUUUGAAUUUUGAAAGCUUGAUACAAAAUGAGCCAUCUGAUUGCUA